UAAUUAAUGAACACAAAGCUCUUCGAUCAAAAACUAUAGUCCAAUAAUAAUGAUGUAACAUAAAUGUCUGAUAUUUAAUAUACCAGUAACCCCCGCCAUCUGUAAACGAGCAAACUGCAACAUUCAAUGAUCGAGCCAUCUGCCUAGGGCCAAUCCGAGAUGGAUACCAAGUCACUUAAGACAUCUCACACUUUCGGAUCGAGUGAGUGCGAUGGAGAAACUAUCAAUAAUCACUUCGCUGGAAUUAAGACAACACAAAAAAAAUGGGAUAAAUCAUUAAUUACGGAAAGCAAAUUGAGACCGGUUGAGAAUUUGUAGGAAACAAAGCAAGAUGUCAGAAAGAUGCCACUCGAGCUAAUAAUGAAGACAGUGCGAAGCGAGCGGACAAGUGCUCGGAGACCGGGUUCACACAAUCCAUCAAUCGAUCGGCCAUCGAUCCGUCGAUCCAUCAAGGCACAUAAAUCAUUGGAAGGGCGACUGGUCGAUAAUUAGAAGUGGAAAACAAACUCCAAUUGCCAGUGCCGAUUUCAAUUGCGCAAAAACCCAUAACACAUCCUGGCUGGCAAUCAGCCAAAUGAGCUCCUAAUAGAAUAUUAACUCCCAAAAAGCGAUUCGGGCAACCGCCUAACCGAGUGCAGUGGUUAUGCCGGGCGUAUUGGAGUCGCAUUUGGACCCAGCACGCUCACAGAUGCAGAGAUACGGAUACAGGUGCAGAGAUGCCCGAACAGCAGGCAGGUAAACUGGGCCCGGAGCAAACCAGUUAUGGGCCCCAACCGAACGCCGAAUUCAAGUCCGGUUUUGAGCCGAAUUCGAAGACGAGUUCGAACUGCGAAAAUUCGGAGAUCGCACCACUACCAGUGCAGCGGGCACCAAUACAGCGACAGCUACCUGAGCGGGAGAGCGCAGCCACACCACCGAGGCUUCGAGCUCGAAUUCGAGUUCGAAAACGCGCGGCCCGGUCCUGAACCCGGGUCCUCUAGCGGACCUGGGCAGUUCCUCCUUUUCUGCCGUGCGAUGCGCAUGCGACGUCGAAGGGCGAACGCUCCGCACCACACCAUCUUACCCAGCACACAGCGACACGGGAGUAUCGGUGGCAUGGCCGCUCCAAGCGCGACGCACUCUACGCACACACUUGUCGCCUCGCUCGCACCCGCACUUGCCCCAUGCGCAUGCGCAUGCGCGUCGAUUGGCUCCGCCCCCGGGUUUCGAAAUACUUGACUGACUUUCAAUAUGGCCGCCGUUUUGACAGCUCCUAUUGUUGCUGUUGUGCGAGUAUCCUUAAAGAAAUGCUUCAUUUUCAACACCAUCUGAUUGAGUUUUCGAUUUCAAUUACCGCCACCAACUGUUGAGUUUAUUAGACAGGACGGAAAGAAGCUUACCGCCUUAAACAGAGUGCAUAAAUUUCCCUAUACGUCUCAAUCUUUUCGUGCGAUAUGGCUGGCCAUUAAAAUUAAGUAAUUUGAAGACAAGGCAGGGAAAUGUUGUCACAACAUUCCAGUAAUUACCCGUAAUGCCGAAAGAACACAACAAUCCCGACUGCGACCAGGAACGACGUCGCUAAUGAUCGAAUCAUUUCGGAUAAUGGCCCGAAUGAAGAAGCAGGGAACUGUAUCUGUAACUGUAUCUGGAACUGUUGGCCAUAAGAAAGGCCAGCGACAAAAAGCGGAGAGCGAGAUACUCGACUCACCAGAAGUCAAACUGAAAAUUGAGCUGCAGAUAUUUUCGGUAGCAGGAGCGUUCGCGUGGGUUGGAAGAGCCCCAGAUACAGAUGCCGAUAGGGAAACAGGAACUCGGAGCCGGUCAAAUGCACAAAAAUGAAGUGCGAACCCAUUAAUCAAGGCUUUACUAAAUUUAAUAUGCGGUUAAAAGUGCUAAUGACGCUGGUCGGGCAAUCGUUUAAGCCUCGUCCCCCAGAACCACCCCCGCCCCCGCACACAAACCCACUUCGAGGAGCGGGACAGGAGCGGGCUGAGCCCAACGGAACCAAACCAGACCGAACCGAACCGAACCGAAGAACCGGCGGAGAGCAGGGCAGUACAUAAAGUUUAAUGAGGAACCACUUAACACUUUCAGAGCUUUUUACGUUCUGCUGUCAUUAGAAUGAUUUUUGCCACUAAAUGCGAUCCCAGAAAGCACUGGAAGAAAUUUGCGGAAGGUUGAAUAAAAUAACAGAUAAAUGUGACAAAAUAUAUUAUCUUUUGAAUAUUCCAAAUACAUUUUUGUAUCGACGGUUCGGGAGAUUUAAAAAAAAAAAUAUAAUAAAUAUAAAUUAUUGUCUCACAAA